rnacentral:rRNA from 1 species
AACGAGUUACGUUAAGUAGCAAGGUUAAGCACUUAAGGUGCGGAGCCGUAGCGAAAGCGAGUUUUAACUGAGCGUUCAGUUACUUGACGUAGACCCGAAACCGGGCGACCUACCCAUGAGCAGGAUGAAGCGAAAGUAAAAUUUCGUGGAGGUCCGAACCCACGAGCGUUGAAAAGCUCGGGGAUGACUUGUGGGUAGCGGUGAAAUUCCAAUCGAGCCCGGAGAUAGCUGGUUCUCCCCGAAAUAGCUUUAGGGCUAGCCUCAAGGUGAGAGAUACGGAGGUAGAGCACUGAAUGUCCUAGGGGGUAUUGCACCUACCGAAGACUAUCAAACUCCGAAUGCCGUCAUCUUAUACUUGGGAGUCAGACUGUGGGUGAUAAGAUUCAUAGUCGAAAGGGCAACAGCCCAGAUCGUCAGCUAAGGUCCCUAAAUGUAAGUUAAGUGGUAAAGGAUGUGGGAUUGCACAGACAACCAGGAUGUUGGCUUAGAAGCAGCCACUCAUUCAAAGAGUGCGUAAUAGCUCACUGGUCGAGUGAUCCUGCGCCGAAGAUUUCCGGGGCUAAAACUUACUACCGAAGCUACGGCAUCAGUAAUGAUGGGUAGGGGAGCUUCCCAUACGGGUUGAAGCAUGACCGUAAGGACAUGUGGACAGUAUGGGAGUGAGAAUGUUGGCAUGAGUAGCGAGAUGUGGGUGAGAAUCCCACAGGCCGUAAACCCAAGGUUUCCAGGGGAAGGUUCGUCCGCCCUGGGUUAGUCGGGACCUAAGCUGAGGCCGAAAGGCGUAGGUGAUGGACAACAGGUUGAUAUUCCUGUACUACCGAUAACCGUUUGAGAGAUGGGAUGACACAGUAGGAUAAGCUAAGCACACUGUUGGUUAUGUGUGCCCAAGCAUUGAGGCAGUCAAAGUAGGCAAAUCCGCUUUGAUAAUGCUGGGAUGUGAUGGGGAGCGAAAUUUAGUAGCGAAGUAGCUGAUUUCACACUGUCAAGAAAAGUCUCUAUCGAGGUUAAAGGUACCCGUACCGCAAACCGACACAGGUGGGUGAGGAGAGUAUCCUAAGGCCAGCGAGAGAACUGUUGUUAAGGAACUCGGCAAAAUGACCCCGUAACUUAGGGAUAAGGGGUGCCACCAUCAGGUGGCCGCAGAGAAUAGGCCCAAGCGACUGUUUACCAAAAACAUAGGUUUCUGCUAAGUCGCAAGACGAUGUAUAGGAGCUGACGCCUGCCCGGUGCUGGAAGGUUAAGGGGAUCUGUUAGAGCAAUCGAAGCAGUGAACUUAAGCCCCAGUAAACGGCGGCCGUAACUAUAACGGUCCUAAGGUAGCGAAAUUCCUUGUCGGGUAAGUUCCGACCCGCACGAAAGGCGUAACGAUUUGGGCACUGUCUCAACAACAGACUCGGUGAAAUUGUAAUUCCGGUGAAGAUGCCGGAUACCUGCGACAGGACGGAAAGACCCCAUGGAGCUUUACUGUAGCUUGACAUUGGGUCUUGGUACUACAUGUACAGGAUAGGUGGGAGGCUUUGAAACCAGGACGCCAGUUUUGGCGGAGCCAUCCUUGGGAUACCACCCUUGUAGUACUGGGACUCUAACCAUAGGCCAUGAAUCUGGUCUUGGGACACUGUCAGGUGGGCAGUUUGACUGGGGCGGUCGCCUCCCAAAAGGUAACGGAGGCGCUCAAAGGUUCUCUCAGUACGGUCGGAAAUCGUACGUAGAGUGUAAAGGCAAAAGAGAGCUUGAUUGCAAGACAUACAGGUCGAGCAAGGAUGAAAAUCGGACUUAGUGAUCCGGUGGUUCUGCGUGGAAGGGCCAUCGCUCAACGGAUAAAAGCUACCCUGGGGAUAACAGGCUUAUCUCCCCCAAGAGUCCACAUCGACGGGGAGGUUUGGCACCUCGAUGUCGGCUCAUCACAUCCUGGGGCUGUAGUAGGUCCCAAGGGUUGGGCUGUUCGCCCAUUAAAGUGGUACGCGAGCUGGGUUCAGAACGUCGUGAGACAGUUCGGUCCCUAUCCGUCGCAGGCGUAGGAAAUUUGAGAAGACCUGUCCUUAGUACGAGAGGACCGGGAUGGACGUACCUCUGGUGUACCAGUUGUUCUGCCAAGGGCAUGGCUGGGUAGCUAUGUACGGAAUGGAUAAGCGCUGAAAGCAUCUAAGCGCGAAGCCAACUUCAAGAUAAGAUUUCCCACCGCAAGGGUAAGACCCCAGAAAGACUAUCUGGUUGAUAGGUCGAAGGUGUAAGUGCAGCAAUGUAUUUAGCUUAUCGAUACUAAUAGGUCGAGGACUUGACCAA